rnacentral:rRNA from 1 species
AUUGAACGCUGGCGGCAGGCCUAACACAUGCAAGUCGAGCGGAUGAAGGGAGCUUGCUCCUGGAUUCAGCGGCGGACGGGUGAGUAAUGCCUAGGAAUCUGCCUUGUAGUGGGGGAUAACGUCCGGAAACGGGCGCUAAUACCGCAUACGUCCUGAGGGAGAAAGUGGGGGAUCUUCGGACCUCACGCUAUCAGAUGAGCCUAGGUCGGAUUAGCUAGUUGGUGGGGUAAAGGCCUACCAAGGCGACGAUCCGUAACUGGUCUGAGAGGAUGAUCAGUCACACUGGAACUGAGACACGGUCCAGACUCCUACGGGAGGCAGCAGUGGGGAAUAUUGGACAAUGGGCGAAAGCCUGAUCCAGCCAUGCCGCGUGUGUGAAGAAGGUCUUCGGAUUGUAAAGCACUUUAAGUUGGGAGGAAGGGCAGUAAGUUAAUACAUUGCUGUUUUGACGUUACCAACAGAAUAAGCACCGGCUAACUUCGUG